UUUAGAAUAUUUUUCAUUAAAUCUUGUCAUAUGUUCUCACUACAAGGAAUAUGAGCUUAUUGAAUAAUAAAAAAGCCUUGAAAUCCAUUAAGGAUUUCAAGGCUUUAAUUUCAUAUGGUGGGUUUGAGAGGACUCGAACCUCCGACCCCCACGA
rnacentral:antisense_RNA from 1 species